GGGUGACGGUCUCAUCUGGGUGGUGGGACCCGUGCUGGCCGUGCUCUUCAUCAUCUGCAUCGUCAUCGCCAUCCUGCUCUACAAGAAUAAACCUGACAGCAAACGCAAGGACUCUGAGCCAGGAACUAAAUGUUUGCUGAAUAAUGCUGAGAUGAUGGCGCACAACCCCACCGACCCUGUGGAGAUGAGACGCAUCAACUUCCAGACAC